rnacentral:ncRNA from 1 species
GGGAGUUUGGCCUCCCGGAGCCGGCCUUCAGGGGCAGGCUUCAAACCACCUCAUGCUGCCGCGUUCAAAAGGCGCGGUGGUGAGCGAUGAGGAAAAAGGCGGUGAAUGAAACCGUCAGGU